rnacentral:rRNA from 1 species
UACAGAGGGGGCAAGCGUUGUUCGGAAUUACUGGGCGUAAAGCGUGCGCAGGCGGUUUUGUAAGUCAGAUGUGAAAUCCCCGGGCUUAACCUGGGAACUGCGUUUGAAACUACAAGGCUAGAGUGUGGCAGAGGGGGGUGGAAUUCCACGUGUAGCAGUGAAAUGCGUAGAGAUGUGGAGGAACACCGAUGGCGAAGGCAGCCCCCUGGGUUAACACUGACGCUCAGGCACGAAAGCGUGGGGAGCAAACAGG